rnacentral:rRNA from 1 species
CUGGCUCAGAACGAACGCUGGCGGCAGGCUUAACACAUGCAAGUCGAGCGCCCCGCAAGGGGAGCGGCAGACGGGUGAGUAACGCGUGGGAACGUACCCUUUACUACGGAAUAACGCAGGGAAACUUGUGCUAAUACCGUAUGUGCCCUUUGGGGGAAAGAUUUAUCGGUAAGGGAUCGGCCCGCGUUGGAUUAGCUAGUUGGUGGGGUAAAGGCCUACCAAGGCGACGAUCCAUAGCUGGUCUGAGAGGAUGAUCAGCCACAUUGGGACUGAGACACGGCCCAAACUCCUACGGGAGGCAGCAGUGGGGAAUAUUGGACAAUGGGCGCAAGCCUGAUCCAGCCAUGCCGCGUGAGUGAUGAAGGCCCUAGGGUUGUAAAGCUCUUUCACCGGUGAAGAUAAUGACGUAA